GCCGACGUAGCUCAGUUGGUAGAGCAACUGUUUCGUAAAUAGUAGGUCAGCGGUUCAAAUCCGCUCGUCGGCUCCA
rnacentral:tRNA from 1 species